rnacentral:lncRNA from 1 species
GGGGGCAUAAUGAGUGACCUAAUGGAGGGGGGCCAGCUCCAGUCAUGCCGUAUAACCAACCAAAUUUUACCAACAAAAAGGGGGGCCUAGCACCUAGCCUCCUGGAUCUGUCUAUUGUUUGAACUGUCCAUGUUAUAGAUCAUAUAAAAUUUACUUAAUUUCGCGGGUUGACAUGAACCACAAAUUUAAAUGUUCAACGAAAUUUCUAUAGGUUUUUAUGCAGAAUUGUGCAUUAUCACAAUUCAAAUAUCCACGAAAAUGCAAGCUUUGAUACCCAC